UACGUAGGGUGCGAGCGUUAAUCGGAAUUACUGGGCGUAAAGCGUGCGCAGGCGGUCUGUUAAGACCGAUGUGAAAUCCCCGGGCUUAACCUGGGAACUGCAUUGGUGACUGGCAGGCUUUGAGUGUGGCAGAGGGAGGUAGAAUUCCACGUGUAGCAGUGAAAUGCGUAGAGAUGUGGAGGAAUACCGAUGGCGGAAGGCAGCCUCCUGGGCCAACACUGACGCUCAUGCACGAAAGCGUGGGGAGCAAACAGGG
rnacentral:rRNA from 1 species